GGAGUUAGCCGGUGCUUCUUCUGUGAGUGAUGUCCUUCCUGCCGGCUAUUAACCCGAAGGCCUUCUUCCUCACUGAAAGUGCUUUACAACCCGAAGGCCUUCUUCACACACGCGGCAUGGCUGGAUCAGGGUUGCCCCCAUUGUCCAAUAUUCCCCACUGCUGCCUCCCGUAGGAGUCUGGGCCGUGUCUCAGUCCCAGUGUGGCUGAUCAUCCUCUCAGACCAGCUACGGAUCGUCGCCUUGGUGAGCCGUUACCUCACCAACCAGCUAAUCCGACAUAGGCUCAUCCGAUAGCGCGAGGCCCGAAGGUCCCCCGCUUUCCCCCGUAGGGCGUAUGCGGUAUUAGCCUGGGUUUCCCCAGGUUAUCCCCCACUACCGGGCAGAUUCCUAUGCAUUACUCACCCGUCCGCCGCUCGCCACCAGGGAGCAAGCUCCCCGUGCUGCCGCUCGACUUGCAUGUGUUAGGCCUGCCGCCAGCGUUCAAUCUGACGACGAUACAACUAACUCGUACGUACGUAGACGGGCGGUCGGUCGGACGGACGGCCGACUAGU
rnacentral:rRNA from 1 species